GUCACCUGGGGCCCGUCCCCUCGGCAGGAGGCGAAAAUGAGCGAAAAAAAGGUUAAUUUUCACCACGCUACGGAAGCCUGUGGAACAUGUCUCUCCUACCAACCUCACCCAGAGCCAGAGGAACAGAGGUGGGGCUGACCCGCUGCCAUGACUUCUGCAGUGGACUUCCAGGCAGUGUCCAUGCAAUGACUUGCUAAGACAACUUUUUGUUGCCCACAGGCAAAAGGAGUUGAGAGCAACUAGCAAGGGGAGCCAGGGGAAGCCUGAAGGGAAGCCAAUAAAAAGGCCAGGAGGAAUGAGUGGUUUCGAGAGGCAUUUGGGUCGAUGGUUUUUAUCCGAGAUGAGCACAGACAGUGGGGACCAAGUUGGCAGAGAAUAUUUUAAGAGAAACUGUAGCAAGGUGGCUACAAAUGAAGUUGGAAGUUUAAGAACAGCAAGGUGGGUAAUUAGGAGAAGCAGGUUUGGAAACACAAAGACCUGCUGGGCCUGGCAUUACUGACAGAACAGUGGUGUUACUGGGGAAGUGACCGCUUUUCAUAACAGCUAAAGCAUGUACACUUGUUCUAAUCACACACAGAGAAGAAAGAACGUUUCCCGCUGGUACUUUGACAGCAAAGGGUCAGGACUUAAAUCUGUGUCAAAGACCCAGCAGCUGAACAAGUUACCACACAUCAACUGAGUUACAAUAACUGGUGUUGGUUCAUUGAAAUGCCAUAUCGUACUAUCUAAUUUAGCAGGAAACAAGAAAGAUUUAAGUGAAUGCUAUCAUCUUGCAUUCCCUUCUUUGAGAUCAUGGUCUGUGGGCAGCUUCCACAGCUCAAAGAGCAUAUUCCUGCUACUUUGCAGGAAUUCUUGUGCCAUUAUCUUCCCUUAGCCCCAUUGCACAGUCUACAUGGAUUUAUGCUAUUGUACCUGUCAUUUGGGGGGCUAACCUUUUACCGGAAUAAAUACACCAGUACAAUUCCUAGUACUAAUGUAUUAUGCUGUUUUGCAGCUAUUGCAAAUAAAUAUAACUUACCCUUUUCCUUAGCACAGACAUAAGCUUAUCUAGUGCCAAUUUAAUGAAAUCUUUGACAAGGUGGUAUUGUUUUAGACAUACCUGCAUAGUUAGAAUUGUACAACUCUCAUACAGGGGUACUACUCUCAUCUGUAGACAAAAUCCAGCCCAGCAUUUAACAUGUCAAUGGCUGUCACUUUCAAUUAUAUCAAUACCUCGUUGCUGCAAAAAAAAAUCUCAAGUACAUGUGGGUGAAGCCUACUGAGCCAGCUGAUGUUAACCAGAGGAGAUGGCAAGCAAAAACGUCUGGUGCUUAGAAUCCCCUCUUAACUCUAUUUUAGGUUCGUCUCAAGGGGUCUUGUUUAGUCUCUCAGCAGUUAGUCAAGUGUAUCAGAUACCUGCUGCUGCUCAGCACAGCUACAUCAGGCAGGUUUCGCCCUCCUUCUUGACCGUGUACUCUGCACAUUUCGGAGGAGUGCAUCCAUUGCCUUAAAGGCACUGCACCAAAUAAAUGCAUUUUUUUUCAAGUCUGUAUGGAAUAAGCAGUUAUACUCAUGUAAUAUUUAAAUUUGUGAUAAAAUUUACAUCAUAUGCACUAGUAUAUUUGAAAUGGCGUUUUGAUUGUCCCAUAAACAGACAGAAAACACAUUCUAGGGUGCAAGUGGUGCCGAACUGCUGUUGCUUCUUGGCAAUCAGCAGACUUAACUUUGUGAGCUGCAUGGUUGACUUGCAGCAAUAUCUCAGCACCCCAAGCAGCUUCUGGCUAGCUAUUACCUCAUCAUGAAGCCAUGCAUUCAAUGGGUCGAUUUCCUUCGCCUUGUAAAUUUACGAUGAAGGAGCAGUGCGCUUUGUGCUACUUUGCAUUGAUCUAUAUAAGGUGGUUACUGUGAAAUGAUCUAAAGUGGGGAAUUCAAAGCCCAGCAGGCACUGUGCAACAGUUCCUCAUGUAGAUACACUUGUUUUACAUGACAAAUGCUUUUGUUUGCUUUUAACAUAUUUCACUUCUCAUGUGUAUUAAGUUAAACCACACAAAUGCAUACUUAUUGCAAAAAAAGUGCUCCCCAAGGGAGGUGUUGCAGAAUAGAUCCUCUGCUGUAGCUGGUCUGAGCUAUUUCCUGUGCAGGCAAGUCCUAGGGUGUACAUCGUUACUUUGUCUGCCUUAAUGACUUUAAUGGGAAGUUUAUUCAUUAUACUGUGUGGCCAAACAAGCUAAGGUCAAAGACUCUGUGACAGAUGUGUUGCUUAAUUAGAUAUGCUUUCAAGUAAUUGAGGGACUCCUCAGUUUCUGCUUAUGCCUAAAUUACUUCUUUCUGAUUCCAAAUUCCAAAAUAUAUAUUUUUUAUUUUUUUAAUUACCUUGUAAUCACCAGUGUAUCCAGUGUAUCAGGGGAACUUCUGUGGUGGAAAGAGUGGUAAGAAUUUCCUAGUCAAAUAGCUACAAAACCCUUUGGUCUGGCCUUAGGAUUAGUUGGUGCAGUAAUGUUAGUAAGGAGGAUUGCAAUGCGUCCUGUCUUCAAUCAGCUUGCGACAGGGGAUUCCCUCGUGCACUUGCUACAAUUUCAAAUAAAUAUUUCCAUGCUGCUCUGUGCCGUUCUCACUUCAUUAGCACAAUUAAGCAAGGAAGUAAGUCUUGUUGCAUAGAUUUUUUCCCCAUAAAGUUGCUGCAUUCAAAAUAGACACAGGCAGUGAGCAGUCUGUACUGCUGUAAUUCAGCAGUUUCAGAUAGCAAGUAAUACAGAGGAUGAUAAGGAAGAGCAGGAAGCCUUUAAUUGUUUGAAUUUCAUUUCUCCAGUACUACAAAGUAUCUUUUAAGUUCGUAAUUGUGUCUUUGAAAUGUUCUCCAGUACUGCUGGAUUUAUGUACAUACAUUGUCCUCCACAAAUUCAAGUUUUAGUACUGCCUUUAACUUCAGUUUUGCCUUUGCAAUGCACUGCCUAACAAAUCAAAUUGCCUCUUAAAAAAAAAAAAAAAAAGCAUCUCUUAUUUUAAGAGAAGUUAAUAUCUAUCAUUUGAAAGAGUGGGGGACUAGGAAUUGAGCCUGCAAUGGUCUCAGCAUUGUAGGGUUUUUGCAAUAACCAUAAGACAUGAGAAAUACCCCAUAUGUCUUUUUUCCACGUAACAUCCCCAAUAUAUGCUACAAUCACUCCAUCCAAAUGGGUAAAGCUCCCUCUGCUAUUUGCAUCAUUUUUCUUCAGCCACCCUACUGCAUCCUCAGCCUUGCAUCAGCAGGUCAGCUCUGUGAGUCCAGUCCAGUAUUUACCAGUGGUAUUGCAAAAGGAUGGGGAAUAUUUCAGUCAGAACUGUUUCAAGUGCUAUUUUAGCACAAGAACUUUCUUGGAAAGAGAGCCAUUUAUCAAUGUGUAAUCUUUCAGCCAGUUUGGAAUAUCUGCAUUUUACGGAGGCAACAUUUCCAACUGCUAAGACACUUUCCCAAAUCUGCUUACCAGCAUUUACUGUGGCUGUUUUGUUGUUCUCGCACAGGAAGCAAAUGGAUUCUCCUAGUGCUCAGCAUUGCUACAGAACAGCUACCCUGCAGUCCCCAUGUUUGCUGUCUGCUGCUACUCCACAGCUGUCCCAGAUGAAAUUAAACAGCUCCGGUCUCCUGUCCAAAAGUUCAGUAAAGCCAGUUAGUUGCCAAGGGAGCAAAUAGUAAGUUGGAUCUCCUAGGACAUCACACCACCACCAAUGUGAAUACCAGCCAUGAAACUGGCAGCAAGAAUGUAGCCAUGGCUGUCACAAAAACCAUCUUGAGAAGCUGUUAUUUCUCACAAGAAUUAUUGGUGGUGCCCAGUUACUUCCCUCUGAAUGAACACAACAUCCUCUUAAUGGAGGCACAAAUCUUCACGACAGGAGCUCCGACUGCUGAUCUACUGGCAGCGAAUUGACUAGCCACUAGAAAGCAGCGAGCAGGAUUAGAUUCCUGAAGGAUGGCCUGGAACCAUCUUGAGGGAAGUCACUGUUCGCCUCUGAAAUCCCCAGGGCACUGCUUCCCAUUCCGUUCUUGGUACUCUCUUGUCCCAAGAGGAGCAUCACAAGGAGAAGGCCGUCCAGAAAUAUCCACUUUCACGAUCCCUCUUCUCCAAUGGCUGUCCCCGUUACACCACAGUGGACAGGGUACUGGCAUCUUCCACCUCUUCAAGGUCGUCCACCAAAACAAGGCCAUACACCCGAAGAACUUUUUGGUAUUAACGGCUUUCAGAAAGAUGGUGCGCAGCGCUUUGGAAACGGCACCGAGACUCUCAGCAGCAAAUUCACUGUGGAGCACUGAAACUGGAGAAAGGCUACUUGGUUCAUUUGCCCCCAGUCCGGAAUAUUCCAGUAGGUUGGAAACUGCAUCCUGUGGUGCUGUCAAAGGUACAACACUGCAACGCAGCACACGGGCUAUGAGUUCUUCGCAGUGGGAAGAACAGACAACUUCACCUCCCAGGCAUCAUUGCCCUUCUGAGAGGGGAGGAACAGAGUGGGGCAAUCUGCUGGUAGAACGCACCAGCCGCGGGUCCCUUUGGCCGUGACACUUUGGGGGAGCCAGCAGUGGGAUGGCCGCAGGGUGGCUGCCGCAGGGUGGCUGACUCCCUGCAAGGCUCCAGACACCUUACAGGUCAUACACAAGCAGGUGUGCUUGGAGAGCUCCUGUGGUUCCCCAUCACGCGUUCCUCAGGGUCUCCCCAGGCAGCACGGGUGCAGGCGCCCCACCUGCUGGAGAGGACAGGGUGCAGGCAGAUGCACGACUCAGCCUGGAGUGCCAUCUAUUGAAUCACCAGACACGCUUGCAUGCUUAAACCCAGAAGCCGCAUCUUGAAUCACCCCGCAAGCCAGCAUCUCAUUCAAAAAAGAUAUGCUUAACUAUUUUUUUUCCCUAAUCUGAGGGGAAAGCAUACAUUUUCUGAGCAGUGAUCUGCAGAAUACUGACAUCCUAGGGUCUGUGACAAAACAACAGAAUUUCAAAGGGAAGCCCACGAAUUCUGCAGAUAUGCAACCUCCCAAAUAUAUAUAUAUAUAUAUAUUUAAAUCUAAGAUCUACAGUGUAUUAUUUUAUUAAAGCAAUAGCUUUAAACACCUCCACCUGGCUUAUUAAUACUAUAAUUAUUAACAGUGGAGUGGCACUCAGGUGAAUGGAAGGGUUUCAUCUGGCUUUUGUUCAGAAAUGUCGCAUCUUGCCUACGCUACCUGGGCUCAGUGAUGGAAGAGGCAAAUGGUUUCAGUUCUUUAGCUUCUCAAUAUAUUUAGCGUAAGCAACAUUUCGCGGUUCUAAGAAAACCAACAUCAAAAUUAAUUCCCUGUCUUUUGAUUGUUAUUUUAAAAGGUGGGGAAGUAGUUCAAGCACUCUUUGUAUUUCAGAUAUUACAGAAAAAAAAAAUUAGCAGUCUCAUUCUGUCCGAGUUUCAGUAAUAUGCCUUUUCUACAUGAAGACAAAACUUUCUGAUUGUUGACCAAGGCUCAGAGCUUUUUGAGGAAGAUUUUGAAGCAAAAAUACAUACACAUCUCAACUCUGUGCAUAACAAUGCACCUGAAGGAAACCAUUCUGGGGAAGGAGGAAUUCGAUCCAGAAGCUAACGAUGCCUCCCCUGCUUCAGAAAAUUGGAGUGAUUGGUACAUUCAAUAAAGAAAAGAAAAGUAACCCUGCCUUCUAGUACAAUACCCAGAAGGGCUAUCCUUUCACCAGGUAAAAAUUCUUUUUGCAGACAGUGCAAUGAACGUAAGUACUUGACCACUUACUAAACCAUGAUCUAAUAAAAAAUUUCAUCGCAAUAGGUUAUUGCAUUCUCCAACACCACACCAUCAACACCAGUGUCUUUAGACUUCAGAAUAUGAGCUCCCAAAUGGAUGGUGCCAUCUGGAGCACUGGGAAUCAUAUCCAAUUCUCUCACCAUGUAAAUGUUAAUAAAUCCCACAGCACCUUCCAAGGAAGAAAAGCACCCUUCCUUCUUGUACGGGGGUAGAUAAAUUUCAGGCUCUUUGGGAGAAAUGCUUCAGUUUUGCUUUGCAUGCACUGCUUUUAGCUUCAACCAUUUACCAUUUGAAAUAAGAGCUCAGAAUGUUUCGAUAGAAGUCCCUGAAAUGGAUUUUGGGAGAUGUUUUCCAUUUGAACUUCAAAAAGCUCUGAUGUUACCCAAGUUGACGGCUAGAAUCGUCCUAACAGCAGCAUGAGCACCGUAAAGCUCAAAGCUUCUGCAACCUCCUCCCAGGUCCUGCUGAGACGCAGGUACCACCAAACACUCGUACCUCAUGUGCUGUCGCAACUGAAGUCUGGGAAAACAGCAAAACACUAUUAAACUGAAAUUGCUUGUAAACAGCAUACAUUUGAGAAAGAUAAAAACAAGUAGUCAGCGUAUUCGCUCUGCAAAACGAAGCGCUGUGGCACAGCUCCUCGAGCUACCAGAGAUGCAUCUUCAUAAACCAACAGAAACGCUGCUCUGCUUGGCCCUACAAAGUUUUGGUGCACUUUGGCUUGUAAGGUGCAGUCAGUCUGUGCAGCAGGGUGUUUCAUGUGGGGGGAGGCACCUCACAAACUCGGGGGCAUCUGGCUCGGCUGUUAGUCUGGGUUGAGAGGCCUCCCUCAGCAGAGCAGACAUGUCUUAAUGGAAUCAGUUCAAUGCAAAAGCUGAGUAAAAGGAGGUGGUGUUUGGUGAAGAAAUUCCCAACUGAAAAUAUCAAAGGUAAGGAAAACGCUAGGGAUGUUGCAGACAGCUUUUAGAACAGGGAAGGGGGACAAUCUUUUAGAGUGCCAGAGCCUAAUUUAGGUGAGUAAAUAAUAUGAUAAAUAAUAACUUGCAGUUAAACAAAAAAUGUUCUGUUUGCACUUGAAAUUACAGCAACUUACAUUGAGUCCGAAAUGUAUAUAAUCUGUUAAGAAGACUUCAAGCAGUUUUAAAGAGAACUGGAUCAUGAAUCCAGAAUUAUCACGAAGCAUAAAAAAUUGGUUUCUGCUGAACUGAUAGAAUUAACUUGCAAUGCUGGUUAACUUAUUUUGCAUAUACUAAGAACAUUCAUUUUGUUCCAUUUAACAGCAGUUCUGUGAUUAGUUCAUUAAGGAACAAACCAGUCAGAACUAAAAGAUGAUAUUCUUUCCCAGUGAAGAAGUAAGAACUGGGUCAUGAGAGGUUGAUGCCACAAUUAAGUACAAUUUAAAUUUGGGAAAACCUAGCACUACCUAUAAAGAACACAUGCUGGUAAAACUCUUCAACUGGAAAACUGAUUGAAGUUAAAAUUUCUCAACAAGAAAAAAUGUGGUUGUGUUUAAAUUGAGAGUAUUUUCUUCAGUCAGGGAGAGGAGUAGUAUAGGAGCAGAGACAACUAAAUACAACUUCUUGGGGGGUGUGGGGGAUGCUUUGGGGGUGGGUUGUGGGUUUUUGUUUUGUAUUGGACAGUAGCAUCAACACAGAAGGAUCGUGAAAAGACAGCCUGCAAUCUUUGUUUCAGUAUGAGGAAGGACAAUGAGCAGAAACCUCCGCACAACUCACUAACUACAGAAGAUAUUUCAUUUAUUUAAUCAGUUAAUUUUAAAUUAAUAACAUUUGAUAAUGUCUUUUUGCAUAUGUACCCAGCACAUUCAGCAUAAUUUUACAUAACUUGUAACUUUAAAGUGUUGCAUUUCAUUACCGUCAAAAUGCAGUUUGACACAAAUUGAGGGGAAAUAAAAAGGAAACAUACCAGUCAGCAUUUCUACCAUCAUAAUGUAAAAAAUUAGAUUUCUAAGUGUAUAACAAGCCGUAUAGUAUUUCAACGUGAAUACAAUGCAUUUUUACGGAUAGUCAGAAGGAAGAACCAAAUAUAAUGUAAAAGCUGUAUCUAGAUGCAAAACCACAUUUUAAAGGUUACAAAUCAUUGAGCAUCAACCUUUCAACAAAAACCUUUACGUCUACCACUUACAAUAACCAAUAAAUUGACUUUUUAACCUAUAUUGAUUCAAAUCAGCAACUUCUUAUAAACUUGAUAUCCACACUUGAAACAAUGUAACGAAACUGCAAAGUUCAGACAAUCAAACACAAACUUGAAAAUAACUACCUUAAGACUCUGAGCUGAAAACCACUUCAUACUGAAGAAACAGGCAGGAAAAUGCAUGCUGCUUUAGGAUUCUUGUUUAGUCUGUCUAUUUCUCAGACAACUGGGUAAAAAAGCAAUGAUUUAAGAAUCCUAUACAUGAGGUGUAUUAAUAUUCCUAAUAGACACCCCAAAGAAUUAAGCCAUGAACUCUGUAGAAGACUUGCACAUAUGACAAAUGCAGGGUAAUUUGUCAAAGGAAGAGGCAAGAGAAGCUAGCCAAGCAGUGAAAUUUAUCAUUAACUGGAGUAAGGGAACCCCUGCACUAACACAGAUAGCAAUUUUUUUUCCCACAGCCACAAAUAGUGACUGAACUGUGCCCAAAUCCAGUAAGAAAAAAUCUUGACAAGGCAGUUACAUAUUAAAAA